UGGGGAAUUUUGGACAAUGGGGGAAACCCUGAUCCAGCCAUUCCGCGUGAGUGAAGAAGGCCUUCGGGUUGUAAAGCUCUUUCAGCAGGAACGAAACGGUCGGCUUUAAUAAAGUCGGCUAAUGACGGUACCUGCAGAAGAAGCACCGGCUAACUACGUGCCAGCAGCCGCGGUAAUACGUAGGGUGCGAGCGUUAAUCGGAAUUACUGGGCGUAAAGCGUGCGCAGGCGGCGACAUAAGACAGAUGUGAAAUCCCCGGGCUCAACCUGGGAACUGCGUUUGUGACUGUGUUGCUAGAGUGUAGCAGAGGGGGGUGGAAUUCCACGUGUAGCAGUGAAAUGCGUAGAGAUGUGGAGGAACACCGAUGGCGAAGGCAGCCCCCUGGGUUAACACUGACGCUCAUGCACGAAAGCGUGGGGAGCAAAACAGGAUUAGAUACCCUGGUAGUCCACGCCCUAAACGAUGCCAACUAGGUGUUGGGGGAGGAGACUUCCUUAGUACCGUAGCUAACGCGUGAAGUUGGCCGCCUGGGGAGUACGGUCGCAAGAUUA
rnacentral:rRNA from 1 species